GUAAUCUGUGAGCCACAGGGACUCAACAAUCUCAUUUCCAAAGGUAUUUAGACUAGAAAGCUUAACAGAUGAGGUAUCAUUAAGUGGUGAGGCUGCAGCAAGCAACUAAGCAUUUGUUUGAGGGGCUAAAUUACGAGUACACCAAUAAAAGGGGGGAUGAUCUACACAUAACAGACGUGAACUAAUAAUGAUCUCAAAGUGAUCCUGAACACCUACUUACGUAACUCAUGACCCCACCAUGUCUUCUUUUGAUGCAGGACUCACGAGAAGAGACUGUCACGGUUACGCACAGAGUUGGCAUAUAUUAGUUAAGUUUACUUCGAGUUAUCUAGAACCGUAUGUUAAACAAAGUUUCCAAGUUGCCACAUAAUCGUGGGGACGACUUUAGAAAGAAUUGACCCUGCAGGAGUGCUCCAAUUAGUCCAUCACAAACUACCACAUGCUGUGUUGGAA
rnacentral:lncRNA from 1 species